AAAUGCGAUAAGUAAUGUGAAUUGCAGAAUUCAGUGAAUCAUCGAAUCUUUGAACGCACAUUGCGCCCGCCAGUAUUCUGGCGGGCAUGCCUGUCCGAGCGUCAUUUCAACCAUCAAGCCCCCGGGCUUGUGUUGGGGACCCGCGGCUGCCCGCAGGCCCUGAAAACCAGUGGCGGGCUCGCUGUCACACCGAGCGUAGUAGCAAUCACCUCGCUCAGGGCGUGCUGCGGGUUCCGGCCGUUAAACAGCCUUACAAAACCCAAGGUUGACCUCGGAUCAGGUAGGAAGACCCGCUGAACUUAAGC
rnacentral:misc_RNA from 1 species